AAUCCAUGUUGUGGGCACUUUCUCAGGAGAUCCUUGAACCUUUCCCACGUCUCAAAUAGAGACUCCAAUUCCAAUUGUACAAAGGAUGAGAUCUCAUUUCCUAAGCUU